GUGAAGAACGUAGCGAAAUGCGAUAAGUAGUGUGAAUUGCAGAAUUCAGUGAAUCAUCGAAUCUUUGAACGCACAUUGCGCCCCUUGGUAUUCCCUGGGGCAUGCCUGUUCGAGCGUCAUUUGUACCUUCAAGCUUUGCUUGGUGUUGGGUGUUUGUCCAUUCUCUUGCAGAGGGACUCGCCUUAAAGUAAUUGGCAGCCAGUGUUUUGGUUUUGAAGCGCAGCACAAGUCGCGAUUCAACGCUAUACGCCAGCUUCCACAAGCCUUUUUCACUUUUGACCUCGGAUCAGGUAGGGAUACCCGCUGAACUUAAGCAUAUCAAUAAGCGGAGGA
rnacentral:misc_RNA from 1 species